rnacentral:rRNA from 1 species
GCGAGUUGCGGACGAGGGGGAGGGGUAAGACGAAGGGGGGAAGAGUGGUUCGGAAUCAUUGGGCGUAAAGCGCGUGGAGGCGGCUGAGCAAGUCCGCUCUGAAAGCCCGAGGCUCAACCUCGGGAGGCGAGUGGAUACUGCUUAGCUCGAGUCCGGAAGAGGAGUGUGGAAUUCCUGGUGUAGCGGUGAAAUGCGCAGAUAUCAGGAGGAACACCAAUGGCGAAGGCAGCACUCUGGGACGUGACUGACGCUGAGACGCGAAAGCGUGGGGAGCAAACAGGAUUAGAUACCCGAGUAGUC